rnacentral:lncRNA from 1 species
UCGAGAGUUGGAUUUGUGAUUUCUUAGGAUAUAUGUAUAUACUGAGGAGAUUGAGAUAGUUGGAGUAUAUAGAAGAUGAGUGAUGGGAUAUCAUUGAGAUAGGAAUGAUAUACAUAGUAAGGGAGUUCCUGACUAGUUUUAUUUAUCUUAUCUCAUGAACCACUCCGACGUUGUGACAUCUGAAGAUACGAGCAGAGGACGGAAGUAAGAUCGCCCAAGUACUACGAGAGUAAGCUAAGUUUGCCAGGUGGGCAUUAUUUUGAGUAUACAUAUUAUACGAGCUUUCUUAAAUGAUAUGAUAUUUAUGAUUAUGAUUUGAGUUAAUGUUAUGCUUGAAACUAAUUGACUUGCCGAGUUUUGUUGAUAAUGACUUGUGUGUUACCCUCUACUGAUGAGACGAAUUCGGUCCUGCCACAAGCGGGAUUUUGUGCACAGAGGUGACUGUGAGCCGUCUAUCGGGUCGGCCGGUCACGGUACUUGAGAGGGAGGCCUACUUCUCAGUACCUUUGAUGAUGAAUGGUAGAUAUGGUACAUGCAUGAUGAAUGUUUAAACUGCGCAGUUACUUUAUUGUGAUGUUAUGGUUUGCGAAAUUGCUUGCACAUGUUCGUUUAUACUAAAAUCCCUGUGUGAUGCUUAUAUUGUGGCAAGUUCAAUUUAUAGCUCUAAGAGCAAGCUUUCAUUUGUUUUUCGGCAUAUGUCCACUGAGUACUUUGUACUCAGCCCUGCAUGUAUUUCUAAAUGUGCAGGAUAAGCGAGGAGGAGGAAGAUCGGUCUGGUGCUGGCGGGGACUUAUUUUGGACGACGUUAUUUCUUUUACCGUAUUUAUACUUCA